rnacentral:rRNA from 1 species
AACGAACGCUGGCGGCAGGCCUAACACAUGCAAGUCGAACGCCCCGCAAGGGGAGUGGCGCACGGGUGAGUAACGCGUGGGAAUAUGCCCUUCGGUUCGGAAUAACACAGGGAAACUUGUGCUAAUACCGGAUACGAUCUACGGAUGAAAGAUUUAUCGCCGAGGGAGUAGCCCGCGUAGGAUUAGCUAGUUGGUGAGGUAAUGGCUCACCAAGGCGACGAUCCUCAGCUGGUUUGAGAGGAUGAUCAGCCACACUGGGACUGAGAUACGGCCCAGACUCCUACGGGAGGCAGCAGUGAGGAAUACUCCACAAUGGGGGAAACCCUGAUGGAGCGAUACCGCGUGCAGGAAGACGCUUUUCGGAGUGUAAACUGCUUUUAAUAGGGAAGAUUAUGACGGUACCUAUAGAAUAAGGACCGGCUAACUACGUGCCAGCCGCCGCGGUAA